AUUGAACGCUGGCGGCAGGCCUAACACAUGCAAGUCGAACGAGUGGCGGACGGGUGAGGAAUGUCUGGGAAACUGCCUGAUGGAGGGGGAUAACUACUGGAAACGGUAGCAAAUACCGCAUACCAUCAGAUGUGCCCAGAGGGGAUGAGCUAGUUGGUGGGGGAACGGCUCACCAAGGCGACGAGCCCUAGCUGGUCGGAGAGGAUGACCAGCCAGCCUGGAACUGGUACACGGUCCAGACUCCUACGGGAGGCAGCAGUGGGUAAUAUGGCACAAUGGGCGCAAGCCUGAUGCAGCCAUGCCGCGUGUAUGAAGAAGGCCUUCGGGUUGUAAAGUACUUUCAGCGGGGAGGCGUUACCCGCAGAAGAAGCACCGGCUAACUCCGUGCCAGCAGCCGCGGUAAUUC
rnacentral:rRNA from 1 species